AUUGAACGCUGGCGGCAUGCUUUACACAUGCAAGUCGAACGGCAGCGCGGGCUUCGGCCUGGCGGCGAGUGGCGAACGGGUGAGUAAUACAUCGGAACGUGCCCAGUAGUGGGGGAUAGCUCGGCGAAAGCCGGAUUAAUACCGCAUACGACCUGAGGGUGAAAGCGGGGGAUCUUCGGACCUCGCGCUAUUGGAGCGGCCGAUGGCAGAUUAGCUAGUUGGUGGGGUAAAGGCCUACCAAGGCGACGAUCUGUAGCUGGUCUGAGAGGACGACCAGCCACACUGGGACUGAGACACGGCCCAGACUCCUACGGGAGGCAGCAGUGGGGAAUUUUGGACAAUGGGCGAAAGCCUGAUCAGCAAUGCCGCGUGUGUGAUGAAGGCCUUCGGGUUGUAAAGCACUUUUGGCGGGAACGAAAAGGACUGUGCCAAUACCACGGUUCGAUGACGGUACCCGCAGAAUAAGCACCGGCUAACUACGUG
rnacentral:rRNA from 1 species